UACUAGAGUAGCACUCGCAUAUCAAUAAGCGGAGGAAAAGAAACUAACAAGGAUUCCCCUAGUAACGGCGAGUGAAGCGGGAAGAGCUCAAAUUUGAAAUCUUAAAGGGUUUCCCUUUACGAAUUGUAGUUUAAAGAAGUGUUUUCUGUUGAGGUUUUGGUAAAAGUUCUUUGGAAUAGGACAUCAUAGAGGGUGAGAAUCCCGUAUUUGACCUUUACUUUCAACUUUGUGAUACACUUUCAAAGAGUCGGAUUGUUUGGGAAUGCAGUCCAAAAUGGGUGGUAAAUUUCAUCUAAAGCUAAAUAUUGGCGAGAGACCGAUAGCGAACAAGUACCGUGAGGGAAAGAUGAAAAGAACUUUGAAAAGAGAGUUAAACAGUACGUGAAAUUGUCAAAAGGGAAGCGUUUGACACCAGUGUUGUUUUUCUGAAAAUCAAUUAAAGAACUGUUUAUGCUAAGCUGUUUAGACUUUAUCAGCUAUCUGUUUAGUUUUGAGCUUUUCUUUAAUGCACUUUUCAGUUAACAAGUCAACAUCAAUUUCUUUUGCUGUAAAAAAGCUUGAGGAAGGUGGCUUGAGAUUCGUCUUAAGUGUUUAUAGCCUCUUGCCUAUGCAGUCGGAGAGACUGAGGUCUGCAGCGUAGAUCCUUCGGGGCUAAAUGCAUUUGUGCUAAGUUAUAGCAUUUUAUAGACAACUUGUUGACUAUGAUUUGUCUUGUAGCUUACUCGCUUAUGUUAUUUUACCUACGCUUAGGAUGUUGAGCGCAUGUCUCUCUCU
rnacentral:rRNA from 1 species